CCUACGGGAGGCAGCAGUGGGGAAUUUUGGACAAUGGGCGAAAGCCUGAUCCAGCAAUGCCGCGUGAGUGAAGAAGGCCUUCGGGUUGUAAAGCUCUUUUGUCAGGGAAGAAACGGUGAGAGCUAAUAUCUCUUGCUAAUGACGGUACCUGAAGAAUAAGCACCGGCUAACUACGUGCCAGCAGCCGCGGUAAUACGUAGGGUGCAAGCGUUAAUCGGAAUUACUGGGCGUAAAGCGUGCGCAGGCGGUUUUGUAAGUCUGUCGUGAAAUCCCCGGGCUCAACCUGGGAAUUGCGAUGGAGACUGCAAGGCUAGAAUCUGGCAGAGGGGGGUAGAAUUCCACGUGUAGCAGUGAAAUGCGUAGAGAUGUGGAGGAACACCGAUGGCGAAGGCAGCCCCCUGGGUCAAGAUUGACGCUCAUGCACGAAAGCGUGGGGAGCAAACAGGAUUAGAUACCCUGGUAGUCCACGCCCUAAACGAUGUCUACUAGUUGUCGGGUUUUAAUUAACUUGGUAACGCAGCUAACGCGUGAAGUAGACCGCCUGGGGAGUCGGUCGCAAGNUUAAAACUUNAAAUUGAAUUGNGNGNGNGAGNGCGAGACGACGACGAGGAGGAGG
rnacentral:rRNA from 1 species